CGUGCUUAACACAUGCAAGUCGAGCGGUAAGGCCUUUCGGGGUACACGAGCGGCGAACGGGUGAGUAACACGUGGGUGAUCUGCCCUGCACUUCGGGAUAAGCCUGGGAAACUGGGUCUAAUACCGGAUAUGACCUCMUAUYGCAUGAYGGGKGGUGGAAAGAUUUAUCGGUGCAGGAUGGGCCCGCGGCCUAUCAGCUUGUUGGUGGGGUAAUGGCCUACCAAGGCGACGACGGGUAGCCGACCUGAGAGGGUGACCGGCCACACUGGGACUGAGACACGGCCCAGACUCCUACGGGAGGCAGCAGUGGGGAAUAUUGCACAAUGGGCGAAAGCCUGAUGCAGCGACGCCGCGUGAGGGAUGACGGCCUUCGGGUUGUAAACCUCUUUCAGCAGGGACGAAGCGCAAGUGACGGUACCUGCAGAAGAAGCACC
rnacentral:rRNA from 1 species